rnacentral:rRNA from 1 species
UACGGAGGAUGCGAGCGUUAUCCGGAUUUAUUGGGUUUAAAGGGUGCGUAGGCGGGCUAAUAAGUCAGUGGUGAAAAGUUCCAGCUCAACUGGGAUCUUGCCAUUGAAACUGUAAGUCUUGAGUGAAGUGAAGGUAGGCGGAAUGUGUAAUGUAGCGGUGAAAUGCUUAGAUAUUCCACAGAACACCAAUUGCGAAGGCAGCUUACUGUCCUUCAACUGACGCUAAAGCACGAAAGCGUGGUUAUCAAACAGG